rnacentral:rRNA from 1 species
CCCUUAGAUGUUCUGGGCCGCACGCGCGCUACACUGAUGCAUUCAACGAGCCUAUCCUUGACCGACAGGUCCGGGUAAUCUUUGAAUCUGCAUCGUGACGGGGAUAGAUUAUUGCAAUUAUUAAUCUUCAACGAGGAAUGCCUAGUAGGCGCAAGUCAUCAGCUUGCGUCGAUUACGUCCCUGCCCUUUGUACACACCGCCCGUCGCUCCUACCGAUUGGGUGUGCUGGUGAAAUGUUCGGAUCGGCCGUUUGUCGCGGUUUCCGCGGCUCGUGGCUGAGAAUUUCAUUAACCCCUCCCACCUAGAGGAAGGAGAAGUCGUAACA